rnacentral:rRNA from 1 species
GGUGACCUGCGGAAGGAUCAUUACCGAGUGAGGGCCCUCUGGGUCCAACCUCCCACCCGUGUCUAUACGUACCUUGUUGCUUCGGCGGGCCCGCCGUUUCGACGGCCGCCGGGGAGGCCUUGCGCCCCCGGGCCCGCGCCCGCCGAAGACCCCAACAUGAACGCUGUUCUGAAAGUAUGCAGUCUGAGUUGAUUAUCGUAAUCAGUUAAAACUUUCAACAACGGAUCUCUUGGUUCCGGCAUCGAUGAAGAACGCAGCGAAAUGCGAUAAGUAAUGUGAAUUGCAGAAUUCAGUGAAUCAUCGAGUCUUUGAACGCACAUUGCGCCCCCUGGUAUUCCGGGGGGCAUGCCUGUCCGAGCGUCAUUGCUGCCCUCAAGCACGGCUUGUGUGUUGGGCCCCCGUCCCCCUCUCCCGGGGGACGGGCCCGAAAGGCAGCGGCGGCACCGCGUCCGGUCCUCGAGCGUAUGGGGCUUUGUCACCUGCUCUGUAGGCCCGGCCGGCGCCAGCCGACACCCAACUUUAUUUUUCUAAGGUUGACCUCGGAUCAGGUAGGGAUACCCGCUGAACUUAAGCC